UACGUAGGGGGCAAGCGUUGUUCGGAAUUACUGGGCGUAAAGCGUGCGCAGGCGGUGAUGUAAGACAGUUGUGAAAUCCCCGGGCUCAACCUGGGAACUGCAUCUGUGACUGCAUCGCUGGAGUGCGGCAGAGGGGGAUGGAAUUCCGCGUGUAGCAGUGAAAUGCGUAGAUAUGCGGAGGAACACCGAUGGCGAAGGCGGCUUACUGGGCCAUUACUGACGCUGAGACACGAAAGCGUGGGGAGCAAACGGG
rnacentral:rRNA from 1 species